AGAGUUUGAUCCUGGCUCAGGAUAAACGCUGGCGGCGCACAUAAGACAUGCAAGUCGAACGGAAGUCGUUAUAAAAAGAGAGAAGAUUUAUCGGAUUGAAUUUUAUAACAAUGGCUUUAGUGGCGGACUGGUGAGUAACGCGUAAGGAACCUACCUAUUAGAGGGGAACAACAAUGAGAAAUCAUUGCUAAUACCGCAUAUGCCAUAACUACCGCAUGGUAGAAGUGGGAAAGGAGUAAUCCGCUGAUAGAUGGCCUUGCGUCUGAUUAGUUAGUUGGUGGGGUAACGGCCUACCAAGACGACGAUCAGUAGCCGGACUGAGAGGUCGACGAUCAGUAGCCGGACUGAGAGGUUGAACGGCCACAUUGGGACUGAGAUACGGCCCAGACUCCUACGGGAGGCAGCAGUCGGGAAUAUUGCGCAAUGGAGGAAACUCUGACGCAGUGACGCCGCGUGCAGGAAGAAGGUUUUCGGAUUGUAAACUGCUUUAGACAGGGAAGAAACAAGACAGUACCUGUAGAAUAAGCUCCGGCUAACUACGUGCCAGCAGCCGCGGUAAUACGUAGGGAGCAAGCGUUAUCCGGAUUUAUUGGGUGUAAAGGGUGCGUAGACGGGAAAUUAAGUUAGUUGUGAAAUCCCUCGGCUUAACUGAGGAACUGCAACUAAAACUGAUUUUCUUGAGUGCUGGAGAGGAAAGUGGAAUUCCUAGUGUAGCGGUGAAAUGCGUAGAUAUUAGGAGGAACACCAGUGGCGAAGGCGACUUUCUGGACAGUAACUGACGUUGAGGCACGAAAGUGUGGGGAGCAAACAGGAUUAGAUACCCUGGUAGUCCACACCGUAAACGAUGGAUACUAGGUGUAGGGUGUGAUAAACAUUCUGUGCCGUCGCAAACGCAGUAAGUAUCCCACCUGGGGAGUACGGCCGCAAGGUUGAAACUCAAAGGAAUUGACGGGGGCCCGCACAAGCAGUGGAGUAUGUGGUUUAAUUCGGUACGGCCGCAAGGUUGAAACUCAAAGGAAUUGACGGGGGCCCGCACAAGCAGUGGAGUAUGUGGUUUAAUUCGACGCAACGCGAAGAACCUUACCAGGGCUUGACAUAUACAUGAAAGUCUAAGAGAUUAGACCCCUCUUCGGAGCGUGUAUACAGGUGGUGCAUGGUUGUCGUCAGCUCGUGUCGUGAGAUGUUGGGUUAAGUCCCGCAACGAGCGCAACCCCUGUUCUUAGUUACCAGCGAGUUAAGUCGGGAACUCUAAGAAGACUGCCGGUGAUAAAUCGGAGGAAGGUGGGGACGACGUCAAAUCAUCAUGCCCUUUAUGUCCUGGGCUACACACGUACUACAAUGGCUGUAACAAAGGGAAGCUAAGCCGCGAGGUGGAGCAAAACCCAAAAAAGCAGUCUCAGUUCGGAUUGAAGGCUGAAAUUCGCCUUCAUGAAGCCGGAAUUGCUAGUAAUGGCAGGUCAGCAUACUGCCGUGAAUACGUUCCCGGGCCUUGUACACACCGCCCGUCACACCAUGAGAGUUGGGAAUACCCGAAGCCUGUGAGCUAACUUUUAGAGGCAGCAGUCGAAGGUAGAAUCAAUGAUUGGGGUGAAGUCGUAACAAGGUAGCCGUAUCGGAAGGUGCGGCUG
rnacentral:rRNA from 1 species